AGCUUGCUCUCUGAUUUAGCGGCGGACGGGUGAGUAAUGCCUAGGAAUCUGCCUGGUAGUGGGGGAUAACGUUCCGAAAGGAACGCUAAUACCGCAUACGUCCUACGGGAGAAAGCAGGGGACCUUCGGGCCUUGCGCUAUCAGAUGAGCCUAGGUCGGAUUAGCUAGUUGGUGAGGUAAUGGCUCACCAAGGCGACGAUCCGUAACUGGUCUGAGAGGAUGAUCAGUCACACUGGAACUGAGACACGGUCCAGACUCCUACGGGAGGCAGCAGUGGGGAAUAUUGGACAAUGGGCGAAAGCCUGAUCCAGCCAUGCCGCGUGUGUGAAGAAGGUCUUCGGAUUGUAAAGCACUUUAAGUUGGGAGGAAGGGCAUUAACCUAAUACGUUAGUGUUUUGACGUUACCAACAGAAUAAGCACCGGCUAACUUCGUGCCAGCAGCCGCGGUAAUACGAAGGGUGCAAGCGUUAAUCGGAAUUACUGGGCGUAAAGCGCGCGUAGGUGGUUCGUUAAGUUGGAUGUGAAAGCCCCGGGCUCAACCUGGGAACUGCAUCCAAAACUGGCGAGCUAGAGUACGGUAGAGGGUAGUGGAAUUUCCUGUGUAGCGGUGAAAUGCGUAGAUAUAGGAAGGAACACCAGUGGCGAAGGCGACUACCUGGACUGAUACUGACACUGAGGUGCGAAAGCGUGGGGGAGCAAACAGGAUUAGAUACCCUGGUAGUCCACGCCGUAAACGAUGUCAACUAGCCGUUGGAAAUCCUUGAGAUUUU
rnacentral:rRNA from 1 species